rnacentral:rRNA from 1 species
AUGGCGGCAUCACUAGCCUGCGCCUUCUUCUUCGAUGCCGAGCCGGCCGGCGAGCCCGGCAAGCACGCGCUGGAUGCGUGUGCGCUCUGCGCCAAGCGGCUGGCGCGCGACAGCGACGUCUUCAUGUAUGGAGGGGACACGCCCUUCUGCAGCGAGGAGUGCUGGCGCGAGCAGAUGCACCUCGACACCGUCUCUGCCAGGCAGGCCACCCGGAGGCUGCAGCGGUUCACGGCAGGGACGGAGUGCCACCGUGGGCAUCGGCAGUCCAGGAAGGUGUCCAUCGCCAGCUAA